GACGAACGCUGGCGGCGUGCUUAACACAUGCAAGUCGAACGGUAAGGCCCUUCGGGGUACACGAGUGGCGAACGGGUGAGUAACACGUGGGUGAUCUGCCCUGCACUUCGGGAUAAGCCUGGGAAACUGGGUCUAAUACCGGAUAGGACCACUGCCUGCAUGGGUGGUGGUGGAAAGCUUUUGCGGUGUGGGAUGGGCCCGCGGCCUUUCAGGUUGUUGGUGGGGUGAUGGCCUACCAAGGCGACGACGGGUAGCCGGCCUGAGAGGGUGACCGGCCACACUGGGACUGAGAUACGGCCCAGACUCCUACGGGAGGCAGCAGUGGGGAAUAUUGCACAAUGGGCGCAAGCCUGAUGCAGCGACGCCGCGUGAGGGAUGACGGCCUUCGGGUUGUAAACCUCUUUCAGCACCGACGAAGCGCAAGUGACGGUAGGUGCAGAAGAAGGACCGGCCAACUACGUGCCAGCAGCCGCCGUAA
rnacentral:rRNA from 1 species